GUCCCUGCAGUGCGAUGGAUAGCGUGUUGGACUUUAAAUUCAAAGGUCGUGGGUUCGAUUACCACCUGGGAUG
rnacentral:tRNA from 1 species